GGUUCGGUAGCUCAUCUGGAUAGAGUACUCGGCUACGAACCGAGCGGUCGGAGGUUCGAAUCCUCCCGGAUGCACCA
rnacentral:tRNA from 1 species